UACGGAGGGUGCGAGCGUUAAUCGGAAUUACUGGGCGUAAAGCGUGCGUAGGCGGAUGAUUAAGUCUGAUGUGAAAGCCCCGGGCUCAACCUGGGAAUUGCAUUGGAUACUGGUCGUCUAGAGUAUGGUAGAGGGAAGUGGAAUUUCCGGUGUAGCGGUGAAAUGCGUAGAUAUCGGAAAGAACACCAAUGGCGAAGGCAACUUCCUGGGCCAAUACUGACGCUGAGGUACGAAAGCGUGGGGAGCAAAC
rnacentral:rRNA from 1 species